UGUAAUGGCGGCUGUGCGUGGGAGACCUUCGGGUCUGCCGGGGCGCGUGCAUACCGGUUUCUCAGCCUGCGCAUAGCUGCCACCCAU
rnacentral:antisense_RNA from 1 species